rnacentral:lncRNA from 1 species
UGGAUAUUCACCUAAAAUAGGAGAUUUUAUAACAUUUCACUUUUUAUUAGUGAUUAUGGUAUUUUUUGUUGUUAAAGCUGUGUUCACUGUGCUAGUACAUGAACAUUAUAAAAUAAGAGAACUUUCGGAUUAACAUGUGAUUAAGUUUUUCAUUUAUGCUAGCUCCACUUUUUCCCUCAAUUUUUAUUGACCCUUAGAUACAAGCAAAAGUAAGAGAAUAUAUACCAAAGUAGUAUUUUACAAUUUUACAUAAAAGUAGUAGAUUACCAAUAUAUACAAGGGGUAUGACUUACUGGUUAAUGAAAUGAGAUGCGAAC